rnacentral:rRNA from 1 species
UGGACGAAGUCUGAUGGAGCACGCCGCGUGAGUGAGAAGGUUUUCGGAUCGUAAAACUCUGUUGUAAGGGAAGAACACGUACGAGAGUAACUGCUCGUACCUUGACGGUACCUUAUUAGAAAGCCACGGCUAACUACGUGCCAGCAGCCGCGGUAAU